rnacentral:tRNA from 1 species
AAAGGUACAGCUCAGUGGUAAGAGUGCCUGCUAGGCAUGCAUGAGGUCCUGGGUUCAAUCCCCAGUACCCCCA